CAUGUAGGCGGCCUUGUAAGCUUGGCGUGAAAGUCCAUGGCUCAACCAUGGGACUGCGUUGAGAACUGCGAGGCUUGAGUGACGGAGAGGGAGCUAGAAUUCCUGGUGUAGGGGUGGAAUCUGUAGAGAUCAGGAAGAAUACCAAUGGCGAAGGCAAGCUCCUGGCCGAUGACUGACGCUGAGGUGCGAAAGUGUGGGGAUCAAACA
rnacentral:rRNA from 1 species